AGAGUUUGAUCCUGGCUCAGAUUGAACGCUGGCGGCAUGCUUUACACAUGCAAGUCGAACGGUAACAGGCCGCAAGGUGCUGACGAGUGGCGAACGGGUGAGUAAUGCAUCGGAACGUGCCCAGUCGUGGGGGAUAACGCAGCGAAAGCUGCGCUAAUACCGCAUACGAUCUAUGGAUGAAAGCGGGGGACCGAAAGGCCUCGCGCGAUUGGAGCGGCCGAUGUCAGAUUAGGUAGUUGGGUGGGGUAAAGGCUCACCAAGCCAACGAUCUGUAGCUGGUCUGAGAGGACGACCAGCCACACUGGGACUGAGACACGGCCCAGACUCCUACGGGAGGCAGCAGUGGGGAAUUUUGGACAAUGGGCGCAAGCCUGAUCCAGCAAUGCCGCGUGCAGGAAGAAGGCCUUCGGGUUGUAGACUGCUUUUGUACGGAACGAAACGGCUCUGGUUAAUACCUGGGGCUAAUGACGGUACCGUAAGAAUAAGCACCGGCUAACUACGUGCCAGCAGCCGCGGUAAUACGUAUGGUGCAAGCGUUAAUCGGAAUUACUGGGCGUAAAGCGUGCGCAGGCGGUUUUGUAAGACAGGCGUGAAAUCCCCGGGCUCAACCUGGGAAUGGCGCUUGUGACUGCAAAGCUGGAGUGCGCAGAUGGGGAUGGAAUUCCGCGUGUAGCGUGAAUGCGUAGAUAUGCGGAGAACACCGAUGGCGAAGGCAAUCCCUGGGCCUGCACUGACCCUCAUGCACGAAGCGUGGGGGAGCAACAGGAUAAAUAGCGCUGGUAUUCCACGCCUAACGAUGUCCACUGUUGUUGGUCUCUUCUGACUCAUACGACUACCGUGAAUUGACCGCUGGGGAUACGGCCCAAGGUGAAAUCAAAGAAAUUCGGGCCCCCCCAAGCGGUGGUGAUUUGGUUUAAUUGAUGCAACGGAAAAACCUUACCCACCCUUUGACAUGUACGGAACUUACCAGAGAUGGUUUUGGUGCUCGAAAGAGAGCCGUAACACAGGUGCUGCAUGGCUGUCGUCAGCUCGUGUCGUGAGAUGUUGGGUUAAGUCCCGCAACGAGCGCAACCCUUGUCAUUAGUUGCUACGAAAGGGCACUCUAAUGAGACUGCCGGUGACAAACCGGAGGAAGGUGGGGAUGACGUCAAGUCCUCAUGGCCCUUAUAGGUGGGGCUACACACGUCAUACAAUGGCUGGUACAAAGGGUUGCCAACCCGCGAGGGGGAGCCAAUCCCAUAAAGCCAGUCGUAGUCCGGAUCGCAGUCUGCAACUCGACUGCGUGAAGUCGGAAUCGCUAGUAAUCGUGGAUCAGCAUGUCACGGUGAAUACGUUCCCGGGUCUUGUACACACCGCUCGUCACACCAUGGGAGCGGGUCUCGCCAGAAGUAGUUAGCCUAACCGCAAGGAGGGCGAUUACCACGGCGGGGUUCGUGACUGGGGUGAAGUCGUAACAAGGUAACCGUA
rnacentral:rRNA from 1 species